UGGGGAAUUGUUCGCAAUGGGCGCAAGCCUGACGACGCAACGCCGCGUGGAGGACGAAGGCUUUCGGGUCGUAAACUCCUGUCGUGCGGGACGAAUGGCCGCGGACUGAACAGGUCCGCGGUUUGACGGUACCGCGAAAGGAAGCCCCGGCUAACUCCGUGCCAGCAGCCGCGGUAAUACGGGGGGGGCAAGCGUUGUUCGGAAUUACUGGGCGUAAAGGGCUCGUAGGCGGCUCUCUAAGUCAGACGUGAAAUCCCUCGGCUUAACCGGGGAACUGCGUCUGAGACUGAAGAGCUUGAAUCCGGGAGAGGGAUGCGGAAUUCCAGGUGUAGCGGUGAAAUGCGUAGAUAUCUGGAGGAACACCGGUGGCGAAGGCGGCAUCCUGGACCGGUAUUGACGCUGAGGAGCGAAAGCCAGGGGAGCAAACGG
rnacentral:rRNA from 1 species